rnacentral:rRNA from 1 species
UACGGGGGUUGCGAGCGUUGUCCGGAAUUACUAGGCGUAAAGGGCAGGCAGGCGGAUCCAUAAGUUUAUCGUUUAAGGCGUCGGCUUAACCGGCGUAGGGCGGUAGAUACUGUGGAUCUGGAAUGCGGUUGGGGAAGACAGAAUUCCUGGUGUAGCGGUGGAAUGCACAGAGAUCAGGAGGAAUACCGAAGGCGAAGGCAGUCUUCCAAGCCGUUAUUGACGCUCAACUGCGAAGGUGUGGGUAUCAAACAGGAUUAGAUACCCUGGUAGUCCCUGA